GGCGGUUUGUGUUUAUCCUGAGUCUGUUUGUAUUUAUUAUUUAGAAUUUGUAUUUAUCUUGAGAUGGUUUGCAUUUAUUUUUGCAGGAGUUAGUAUUUAUCCUCCUCAGUUAGUAUUUAUCCUGGGCAAACCUAAGUUUGUAUUUAUCCUAGAUAGUUUCUAUUUAUUACCUCAAAAUUUAUAUUUAUUAUUCAUAGUUUCUGUUUAUUAUACGAAGUUUAUAUUUAUUCUGGAGUACUUUAUAUUUAACCUACCACCUAAGGCAGAGAGCAAGCAGAUUUCUAUUUGUGUUUAUUAUUUG
rnacentral:lncRNA from 1 species